AGUAAGAUUUAUUUAAGCUCAUGCUUCUGGAAGUUUCAUUUGAUGGUUAUCUGGCCCCAUCUGUGCACUCGUGGUAGGGCGGAGCACCCUGAUGAAGAGGGUCAAGUAGAAUAGAGCUACUCAUCUCACACAGAGACAGAGCAAACCUCAAGAUAAGCACCUCAUGACCCAUUUCCCCAACCAGGCUCUCCCUCCUGACAGUUCAACAGACAGGUCUGUCAGGGGGUUAAUCCAGUGAAGUCAGGCACCUGUGAACCAGUCAUUUCCCAUAGUUCCCUCUGGUGAAUUCUACUGUGGAGGGAUCCAGGCCUUCAAUGAAGGAUUUUUCAGGGUCCAUACUUCAUUGUAAACCAUAGCAAAAAACAAUUCUAGACAUUCCUUUUGGUCACUUUUGUAUGUAAGAUUGGUUUCAUUUUCUAGAUACACAAAAUUAUUUCACUGCUAAUAUUAUUCAUGUUUGGGUUUUCCUGUCUCUGCCAGUAUACGGCCCCACACAUCUCCUUCAAUUAUUCUGAUUCAGGCCCUGAAAACUAAAAGGUAAGAGUUCUGUCCUUGAAGAACUCUCAGAUCUACUCUGGAGAGACAGACAGUUUUAUAAGGGGUCAGAAGCAUUUGAUAGAAAAGUGCAAGAACAUGGAGGAAGCAGAAUAGGGACAGUUACUAGCUGGAGCUUAUCCUGGUGUUACAUUCUCCUGGAAAACAAUGACUAAUGGAUAUCAACCAAUACAAUACAUUUGCUGGAUAGCGAUAACUGUGAUUAAGGUAUCGGUAUUGAUAGUGUGUAAACCUUGAAUUUGAGUCUAUUUAAGUCUACUGAGUUGAUCUUUAUUUAAAACUUACAUGUACUUACUGUCAUCUUGUGCAAGUAAUUAAGAUACUCCCAGUACCUAAGGGGAGCCACAUGUCCCUUUCAGUAGCUAUAUCCUGAGACACAUUUCCCUGGGGAUUUUCAUUUUAUUAUGUGUAAAGAACCAACAUCACCUGUUGUGUUAUGAAUACAAGAGUGCACAGGGUUUUUAAUCACUCUGUUAAUGGGAUAAUGAAUUAUGUUUGUUUCUAACCAACAAGGUAUCUACCUAAUUUAUUAGCAAUCUAAGAACCUUGCUUUGGCUAUAAAGGCAACAUGCCUUUAUGAGUGGAAAACAAAAUAGAGUAAAUAAUUUAUUCACUGAUGCAGGGCCUUGUUCCUGGUACCUUAUAUGAAAACUAAAUGGAAAUGAUGUUAGAUCUGUAUCCAUCAUAGAUAGCCAGACAUCAGUGUUAGAGACUGACAAUGUGGUGGUUGAGUGUAUAACCUAGUUGAAUGCAGAGAUGUUAAUGAGAACUAAGAUGUGUGAUCAGGGAGCAUGUUGGUGCACAAACAAGGCCCACCAACAUCUAAACAGGAAAAAUUCUACCUGAACAUGCUAAAAUGUCAUAAAGAAACAAACUGUUAGACCAGGCCACAGAAGUAUUUGCAAGAACUAUAGGAAUAAGGAAGAUCCCAUGCAUGGGAACCCCUAACAAUAUUCAAGGGUCUGAAAUAACAAUAGUUGAGCUUUCAAGGAAGGCUUAUUGCUUACUGCUGCAUAGCCAGAGCUCCAGCACUGUUUCCACAGCACUAGCAAGUGUGUGUUGAACUGAGCCAUCUGGCUGUGUGAGCAGAACUUUAGGUCAGUGGAUUGAUACUGCAGCUAAAGAAAGCCUGACAGACAAGUAUAUCACACCUCAGGGGUCUUGUUUGUUCAGGAUAGAGAGUGUGAACCUUGUCCUAUAAUUAAGCACUUCCUAAACAUGCUCCUUUAAAUGUCAGGUAUGGGACAUGCAGGUUCAUCACUCCAGGUUCUUACAUCUAUCCAUAAAGCUCAGGAAAGACUGGUUUAAAAGUUUAGACUUUCUUGUGUAUAUUAUAAAGCUCCAAGAGGGGACUAUCAUUCUUCAAAUUUCUAAGAUCCUGGAUAACAAUCAAAGACAAGUUCUGGCGUUCUCUGCAUGUUUUAUAAAAUCUACUUUGAACAAUGAAAAGUCAUUACAGGUUUCUAACAAAUAAUUGGCAUUCAAGCAUUGAAUUUCAGUUUAGAAGACUUGGGGUGAGGAACAGAAUGGGUGAGGGAAGGGUGGAAGUAAAAAGACUCUGUGGAAGGCAGGUGCCACAGUUUAGGAGAAGAUAGUGAUGAUGGCUUGAGAUUAUGCAUAGAGAAGAAGGUAUGAGCUGUAACUGGCGUUCCAGGGGUAGAACAUGUCAGAACUAGGAGCACACACAAGUUGUGCCCUGGACAAGGACAAAGAGCCAGUGGGUCCCAGUGCACUGACUCUGGCCUCUGUUCUUUGCUGCCAAACUUUGCACCAGAAGAAGCAGGGCUGCAUGCAGUCUGGAGAAGAUAUCAUCUAAGGUGCAGGGAUGCAUGCAGUCUAGAGAUGAUAUCAUCUAAGGUACAUGGCUGCCUGCAGUCUGGAGAAGAUAUCAUCUAAGGUGCUGGGUUGCAUGCAGUCUGGAGAAGAUAUCAUCUAAGGUGCAGGAUUGCAUGCAGUCUGGAGAAGAUAUCAUCUAAGGUGCAGGGUUGCAUGCAGUCUGGAGAAGAUAUCAUCUAAGGUGCAGGAUUGCAUGCAGUCUGGAGAAGAUAUCAUCAAAGGUGUGAGGCUGCAUGCAGUCUGGAAAAGGUAUCGUCUAAGGUGCAUGGCUGCAUGCAGUCUGGAGAAGAUAUCAUCUAAGGUGCAGGGUUGCAUGUAGUCUAGAGAAGAUAUCAUCUAAGGUGCAGGACUGCAUGCACUACAGAGGACAAUAUCUGUACUUCUAGUAAGUGGCUGAUGAGGUAUUGAGAGGAGUAUCUAAGAUUAUGACUAUUUCUAACAUACAUGCUUGCCUGGAUAAGGUUGUUUUAUUUUAUUUUUCAGCCUUCUUAUAAUUCUUUUAGAAAUACAGUCCCUGAAAUCAAUAUCUCUCGGGAAGGAAUAGUGACUGUGUAACUCUGUUGUUCUGAACAGACUCUGCCAAAAGCUAAGGUUUUAUCUUUAUCACAUAUUAAAGUAUAGGUACUAUUAUACCAAAAAAAAGCUCUUCUGAGAUUUGAAGCAGGGGUUAUAAGUCCAAAUGCUUACAGCACCCAUUCAAGCAUUGUAAAUAAGUAAAGUGUGUAGCAGACUAAGAGUCUGGGCAUGAAGCUCACAGAAAAUGUCUCCAUUAAAAAAAAA